rnacentral:rRNA from 1 species
AGAGAUGUGUGAUGACGCAUAUCAAUAAGCGGAGGAAAAGAAACUAACAAGGAUUCCCCUAGUAACGGCGAGUGAAGCGGGAAGAGCUCAAAUUUGAAAUCUUAAAGGGUUUCCCUUUACGAAUUGUAGUUUAAAGAAGUGUUUUCUGUUGGAGUUUCGGUAAAAGUUCUUUGGAAUAGGACAUCAUAGAGGGUGAGAAUCCCGUAUUUGGUCAUUCCUCCUAGCGUUGUGAUACACUUUCAACGAGUCGGAUUGUUUGGGAAUGCAGUCCAAAAUGGGUGGUAAAUUUCAUCUAAAGCUAAAUAUUGGCGAGAGACCGAUAGCGAACAAGUACCGUGAGGGAAAGAUGAAAAGAACUUUGAAAAGAGAGUUAAACAGUACGUGAAAUUGUCAAAAGGGAAGCGUUUGACACCAGUGUUGUUUUUCCGAAAAUCAAUUACGAAUGUUUUAUUUUUGAGAGAGUUAUGACUUCAUCGGCUUGCUUCUUUCUUUACGAAACUUUCUUAAUGCACUUUUCGGUUAACAAGUCAACAUCAAUUUCUUUUGUUGUAAAAUGGGUAUGAGGAAGGUGGCUUUCUUUUCGGAGAAAGUGUUUAUAGCCUUGUGCCUCUGCAAUCGGAGAGAUUGAGGUCUGCAGCGUAGAUCCUUCGGGGUUAGAUACAGUUUGUGCUAAGUUAUAGCUUUUCAUAGACAACUUGUUGACUAUGUUUAGUCUUGUAGCUUACUCGCUGAUGCUAUUUUACCUACGCUUAGGAUGUUGAGUAGCGACAUACGCAC